rnacentral:rRNA from 1 species
AGCGAACGCUGGCGGCAGGCUUAACACAUGCAAGUCGAGCGCCGUAGCAAUACGGAGCGGCAGACGGGUGAGUAACACGUGGGAACGUACCUUUUGGUUCGGAACAACACAGGGAAACUUGUGCUAAUACCGGAUAAGCCCUUACGGGGAAAGAUUUAUCGCCGAAAGAUCGGCCCGCGUCUGAUUAGCUAGUUGGUGAGGUAACGGCUCACCAAGGCGACGAUCAGUAGCUGGUCUGAGAGGAUGAUCAGCCACACUGGGAC